UCAUGUUUCCAAUCUCCAUCCCGUCGCAGCUCGCGGCUCGCAGCCACAGCGAAAGCGCUAUUUGCUUCUCUGCUCUCCGAUCUUCCUACAGCACAGCAGUCAGCAGACAAGAACAUUGUCAGUACAAAGGAUUCCCCAGACAAGAACAAUGUCAAUGGGAGCUGGGAAUUGGACACUACUACUAGAGGCUUGUCUGGUUCAAUGAAGAUAGGUUUGUUGCUCCUCGAGGAUUGAGCUUCUCUGGAAUCUCAGGAGGCAGAACAAAGUCAUUCAAGGGGCUGCUGAUUGGCCUUAUCUACGCAGCUCAAUAUUCAAGACUUCCUCUCUUGAGAAUAUCUACCCUAUUAUUCUUAGUUUUCUCUAGAUGAUGCUCAACUUAGACACGUUGAGGCGUCCAAGUCAUUGAACUGUAGAAGUCAAAAUAGCGGUGAAAUUACUUUCUUACAAGUGAUUUGAUUUAUCGAUAGGGGCCCUCCCAUACUAUAGGAAGUUGUUUCU